rnacentral:lncRNA from 1 species
AAGAAUCAAUAGAAUUAAGCAAGAAUUAGAGAGAAUCGAAGAGAUCAAAAUUUUUGGAAAAUACCUUCAAUGGAGGUCUGGAUUCAACUGAUCUUGAUCUUGCUCGUGCUUGAUCUCACUCUAAAUGCUUGCAUAAGAAGGAUUGAAUGCUCAAAAGGCUGCGGAUUCCUGGAGAUUUGAAUUUCAAAACAGUGGAAAUUCAAACUCAAAUUCAAGUGAAUUUCUCAGGUUUAUCCUUUGCAAUGUGAGGGUUAGAGUUAGGGGGUCAAAGAUGGCACGAAU